GCUCCCAUGGCUCAGUGGUCACUGCGCUCGCCUUGCACGCGGGAGACCCAGGUUCGAUUCCUGGCGGGGUCA
rfam:Asian citrus Psyllid, Diaphorina citri - Florida Strain, whole genome shotgun sequence.